rnacentral:rRNA from 1 species
UGGGGAAUAUUGCACAAUGGGGGAAACCCUGAUGCAGCGACGCCGCGUGAGCGAAGAAGGUUUUCGAAUCGUAAAGCUCUGUCCUAUGAGAAGAUAAUGACGGUAUCAUAGGAGGAAGCCCCGGCUAAAUACGUGCCAGCAGCCGCGGUAAUACGUAUGGGGCGAGCGUUGUCCGGAAUUAUUGGGCGUAAAGGGUACGUAGGCGGUCUAUUAAGUCAGGUGUGAAAGCGUGAGGCUUAACCUCAUUAAGCACUUGAAACUGAUAGACUUGAGUGAAGGAGAGGAAAGUGGAAUUCCUAGUGUAGCGGUGAAAUGAGUAGAUAUUAGGAGGAAUACCGGUGGCGAAGGCGACUUUCUGGACUUUUACUGACGCUCAGGUACGAAAGCGUGGGGAGCAAACAGG